CGGAGGGAAACCGAGUCUUAACCGGGCGUUAAGUUGCAGGGUAUAGACCCGAAACCCGGUGAUCUAGCCAUGGGCAGGUUGAAGGUUGGGUAACACUAACUGGAGGACCGAACCGACUAAUGUUGAAAAAUUAGCGGAUGACCUGUGGCUGGGGGUGAAAGGCCAAUCAAACCGGGAGAUAGCUGGUUCUCCCCGAAAGCUAUUUAGGUAGCGCCUCGUGAAUUCAUCUCCGGGGGUAGAGCACUGUUUCGGCUAGGGGGCCAUCCCGGCUUACCAACCCGAUGCAAACUGCGAAUACCGGAGAAUGUUAUCACGGGAGACACACGGCGGGUGCUAACGUCCGUCGUGAAGAGGGAAACAACCCAGACCGCCAGCUAAGGUCCCAAAGUCAUGGUUAAGUGGGAAACGAUGUGGGAAGGCCCAGACAGCCAGGAUGUUGGCUUAGAAGCAGCCAUCAUUUAAAGAAAGCGUAAUAGCUCACUGGUCGAGUCGGCCUGCGCGGAAGAUGUAACGGGGCUAAACCAUGCACCGAAGCUGCGGCAGCGACACUGUGUGUUGUUGGGUAGGGGAGCGUUCUGUAAGCCUGUGAAGGUGUGUCGUGAGGC
rnacentral:rRNA from 2 species